rnacentral:rRNA from 1 species
UACGUAGGGUGCGAGCGUUUGUCCGGAAUUAUUGGGCGUAAAGAGCUUGUAGGCGGUCUGUCGCGUCUGCUGUGAAAAUCCGGGGCUCAACCCCGGACUUGCAGUGGGUACGGGCAGACUAGAGUGUGGUAGGGGAGACUGGAAUGGCCUGGUGUAGCGGUGAAAUGCGCAGAUAUCAGGAGGAAGACCAGUGGCGAAGGCGGGUCUCUGGACGAGUUCCUGA